GGCUCCAGCAGCAGUCCCCGCCGGGCUCCUCCUCCCUCCAGGAGCCUCACGGACAACAAAGCACAGCGCUGGUAGGGGAGAGGGAGAGACCCAGAUCCCCAAACCCUCCUCUGAGCGCCGUAACGCGGCCUCCCAGACUCUGGGCGCCCCGUUCGGGCAUCUGGGGUCCCCGGCCUGCGCGUCCGCCCACCAGGCUGUGAUCACCCCCUAGUAUCCGAUUCUCCUUUAGAACCCGACACUAGUAACACCUUAGAUAAGAUGCUGAUCACAGAUGGCAAGGGUUACCUAGGCGUGGAAAUACUAACCCGCCAAGAUGUUGGUGCCUGCAAGACUUCGAUAAGCUGAUUCCCUCAGAUUUGAUUAAGCACCAAAAGGUGUGCACUGAGUCCCCUUACCUUGGACACUAGACCACAAUCGUUUUUCACUUUUUAUGGAUUUCUUGGCAAACAAGGGAGAAGAGUAACUUAGUACAAGCACUUUAUUCCUCAGUCCUAAACGCAAGACCAGAUACCGCACAAUUUAAAGUGGGAAACAAUUUUAUUCUAAUCUGUAAAAAUGACACCAAAAACAGUUAACUGCAUUUCUGACUUUUUAAAGAAAUGUGCCUUUAGGUUUAAAAAAAAAUCAUCUUCGCUAGUCCUUAGGAUGCGUGCUCCAAAUCAUUCAUUAGUAUCCUAUAGAAUGUACUACAUGCAAUAUGUACACCAAAAGUCUAGCCACUUUGGUUCAUAAAUACUCUUUAAAAUAAAACCUAAGUCAUUGGAGAUAUUCCAGAGUCUAGGAGCGGGCUCCGCAACAUUGCCCUAUACACAAAAAGACCCAGCAGCACAGCGUAAGCAGGAGUCCGCCCACCAAGCUGACUCCGGGCUCCGGGCUUUGCCCAAGGCCUGCCACUCAAAUGACGCGAGGCCCCGCCCCUGCACCAAGCUAGUUCGACGCGUACAAACAGAUGAUGUCAUUGUCUCCACACGCGCGUGACCCCGGAGCUCUGCGCCGCGUCUUCAUUCGCUGCGCCGCUUACUCGUCAAGCCACGCUGUGCGCUGACUGGCUACAGGCACCAGUCUCCAGGCCCCAGACGCCCCUCUCCGCCCCCAACCUCCGCCCCCCCCAGCAAAUAAUAAACAAUCGAGUAAAAUUCGAAAGGAGGAAGGAGGGGAAGGAGGAGAGAAAGAGGGCGCUCCAGAAGGAGUCCUUCGCGUGCGGACGGCAGGAGGAUUAAAAGGAGGGACGAGGGAGAACCGGAGAGGAAAGGAGGGGGCAGACCUGGGAAGGCAGGUCCCGCUGCGACCAAUCACAUGGAAAACUUCUUUGUUGAACACCGUGUACCAAAGUACAGAGUGAGCUUUGGCUUGUCCUUUGGGGUGUCAUUCCAGGCAAGUUUCAUCACCACCCUCUCCAAGAAAGUCUGGAACUCUGGUCCUCUCUCUUCCUCUUUGAAGACGUCAAGCAUGACAAGCCCUGGAAAGUCUAUCCAGACCCUGAAUGGAGCACUUUAAGACUUGCAUCAUUUAAGCCUCACAGAGGCCUUGUGAGGUACCUAAUGUAAUUAUGGCCCUGAUAAAAGCUGCCAAGUGCUCCUGAGUGCAAAGGAGAGAAGAUAUUUUAACGAAGUUACUAGACUCAUUUGGCUUCUCAUCCUGGAGAAUCUACUGCUCUGGGGGACCAUCAUUUCUGCUGAGCUGGCAUUGCUAUGAGGCGACCGCUUUCUGUUGGUUUUUCUUCGUGAUUUAGAGUUAUCCAGGGGAAGAGGACUAAUUUCUAGAUAGAGAGAUGAAAUCUGGUUUUCAAAGUGCUGGAUGGAUUCCUUCAGGCUGUUUCUGUCUACAAAGCUUGUAUUUCUCAAGGAGCAGGGAGAGAUGGAAUUGAGGUCCUAAGGUAGGAGAGUGGGCCCAUUAUCUCACUUCUGCCCCCUUUCCCCUCUCCCAGUCCCCACCAGGGCUCACUACAGUAGCUGGUGGCAUGUCAGGCUGCCAAACCAAUCACAAUCCUCUUCUUCCUCAGUUAUUUAGCAAGCCUUCCAGAGGUGACUCUGUGGGGAGGGGACUUCCAAGAUCAAAUCAUAGCCUGCUUCCCCUAGAACAUCUCAGUGGCCCAGUGGGGUGCUAAUGUCAAGGCUGUGACAUUAAGACCUGUGUAGGCCCAUUUUAAAAAUGGAAGACUUCUUAGGGGAAGGCAUACGUCAGCUUUUUUUCCUUCUGGGUUGAUUGGAGCUGUCACAGCCUGCCAAUGUCCUCUAAACAUUGCCUGAAAUAAAAAACAGUAUCUUGUGAA